rnacentral:rRNA from 1 species
CCUACGGGAGGCAGCAGUGAGGAAUAUUGGUCAAUGGGCGCAGGCCUGAACCAGCCAAGUCGCGUGCGGGAAGACUGCCCUAUGGGUUGUAAACCUCUUUUAUAAGCGAGAAAUAUGAUGGUAACUUAUGAAUAAGGAUCGGCUAACUACGUGCCAGCAGCCGCGGUCAUACGUAGGAUCCGAGCAUUAUCCGGAGUGACUGGGUGUACAGAGUUGCGUAGGUGGCAUAGUAAGUAGCUAGUGAAAUCUGGUGGCUCAACCAUUCAGACUAUUAGCUAAACUGCUAAGCUCGAGACCGUUAGGGGUAACUGGAAUUGCUAGUGUAGGAGUGAAAUCCGUAGAUAUAAGAAGGAACACCGAUAGCGAAGGCAGGUUACUGGGACGGUUCUGACACUAAGGGACGAAAGCGUAGGGAGCAAACGGGAUUAGAUACCCCUGUAGUC